ACCAUGCAAGUCGAACGGCAGCACAGAAGAGCUUGCUCUUUGGGUGGCGAGUGGCGGACGGGUGAGUAAUGUCUGGGAAACUGCCCGAUGGAGGGGGAUAACUACUGGAAACGGUAGCUAAUACCGCAUAACGUCGCAAGACCAAAGUGGGGGACCUUCGGGCCUCACACCAUCGGAUGUGCCCAGAUGGGAUUAGCUAGUAGGUGGGGUAAUGGCUCACCUAGGCGACGAUCCCUAGCUGGUCUGAGAGGAUGACCAGCCACACUGGAACUGAGACACGGUCCAGACUCCUACGGGAGGCAGCAGUGGGGAAUAUUGCACAAUGGGCGCAAGCCUGAUGCAGCCAUGCCGCGUGUAUGAAGAAGGCCUUCGGGUUGUAAAGUACUUUCAGCGGGGAGGAAGGCGGUGAGGUUAAUAACCUUGCCGAUUGACGUUACCCGCAGAAGAAGCACCGGCUAACUCCGUGCCAGCAGCCGCGGUAAUACGGAGGGUGCAAGCGUUAAUCGGAAUUACUGGGCGUAAAGCGCACGCAGGCGGUCUGUUAAGUCAGAUGUGAAAUCCCCGGGCUUAACCUGGGAACUGCAUUUGAAACUGGCAGGCUUGAGUCUCGUAGAGGGGGGUAGAAUUCCAGGUGUAGCGGUGAAAUGCGUAGAGAUCUGGAGGAAUACCGGUGGCGAAGGCGGCCCCCUGGACGAAGACUGACGCUCAGGUGCGAAAGCGUGGGGAGCAAACAGGUUAG
rnacentral:rRNA from 1 species